UACGGAGGAUGCAAGCGUUAUCCGGAAUGAUUGGGCGUAAAGCGUCCGCAGGUGGCAAUGUAAGUCUGCUGUUAAAGAGUCUAGCUCAACUAGAAUAAAAGCAGUGGAAACUACAUAGCUAGAGUGACGUUCGGGGGCAGAGGGAAUUCCUGGUGUAGCGGUGAAAUGCGUAGAGAUCAGGAAGAACACCGGUGGCGAAGGCGCUCUGCUAGGCCGUAACUGACACUGAGGGACGAAAGCUAGGGGAGCGAAUGGG
rnacentral:rRNA from 1 species